GCGGUUCCAGGUCCCACACUGGUCUCCUAAUUACCUCCCGGGCAGAAAAGUAAGAAUCACCUCUCAGAAAAAGAACUCACCUGGAGGGUAUUAUGCUGAGUGAAGCAUACUUAUGGAUGUAGACAAAAGGGAACAGAGGCACCAAUGGGCCCAAGGAAACAACUAACAGAGUUGAAGUCCCUGUCAUUUAAGUGCAAGCAUUGGAGAAGCUGCUGCGGCUGGGCUGCUGUGGCUGCCGCCGCCGCCGCCGCCGCGGGUCUGAGGCUGCAGUGGGUUCCAGUGCAGCACUGCAGAAUCCACACCUACAGAAGACACACACGUCUACUACCCCGGACCCAGGAAAGCCUUGCAUCUUCCGCGGGUAAGCCGGUCUUUUAUCCAUUUUGUCCAGAUACUGUGGGAAAGGGAAUGAUCGUGGAAAAGACUGCUCAUCAGACAUGCUUAAAAUGGAUUAUGCUAAUUUAUCUUGGGGGGGGGGAUGUUUAGAUUUGUGACUGGCAAAUGCUCUAUAUAGUGGAGACUAUUGUCUGAUAAGUGCUCUUAACAUACUUUUUUUUUUUGCUAUUCAUAAAAAGGCUAAUCUUGAUGCAUGCAAAAGCUGUUCAUUUUUUGCUUUAUAAAUACAAAACAAAAAACAAAAAACACCAAACCCCAUCCAGCCACUCCCAAUCUCUCUCUCAAAUACUGCAGAUGUUUUUAAAGACCAAAUAAAAUGACAGGCUGAGCAUUUUCUAAAUAUUUU
rnacentral:lncRNA from 12 species